rnacentral:rRNA from 1 species
AGAGUUUGAUCAUGGCUCAGGAUGAACGCUAGCGGCAGGCCUAAUACAUGCAAGCCGGACGGCAAGGCUGUUAGCAAUAACGGCCCUAGAGUGGCGCAAGGGUGCGCAACACGUAUGGAACCUGCCCACGGCCGGGGCACAGCCCCCCGAAAGGGGGGUUAACGCCCCAUAGGAAGGGAGGGCGGCAUCGCCCUCCCUUUAAACCACGGGGCCGUGGAUGGCCAUGCGCUCGAUUAGCUAGUUGGCAGGGUAACGGCCUACCAAGGCGAUGAUCGAUAGGGGACCUGAGAGGGUGAUCCCCCACACUGGCACUGAGAUACGGGCCAGACUCCUACGGGAGGCAGCAGUAGGGAAUAUUGGACAAUGGGUGCGAGCCUGAUCCAGCCAUGCCGCGUGCAGGAAGAAGGCCUUCUGGGUUGUAAACUGCUUUUGCCGGGGGAUAAAAGACCCAUGCGUGGGGAAUUGAAGGUACCCGGUGAAUAAGCCACGGCUAACUACGUGCCAGCAGCCGCGGUAAUACGUAGGUGGCGAGCGUUGUCCGGAUUUAUUGGGUUUAAAGGGUGCGUAGGCGGCCCCGUAAGUCAGUGGUGAAAUACGGCAGCUCAACUGUCGAGGUGCCAUUGAUACUGCGGGGCUUGAGUACAGUCGAGGUAGGCGGAAUUGACGGUGUAGCGGUGAAAUGCUUAGAUAUCGUCAAGAACACCGAUAGCGAAGGCAGCUUGCUAGGCUGUAACUGACGCUGAGGCACGAAAGUGCGGGGAUCAAACAGGAUUAGAUACCCUGGUAGUCCGCACAGUAAACGAUGGUCACUCGGUGUUGGCGGUACACGGCCAGCGCCUUAGCGAAAGCGUUAAGUGACCCACCUGGGGAGUACGCCCGCAAGGGUGAAACUCAAAUGAAUUGACGG